CAAUAACUGUGACACCCCUCAUAGCUGUUGAGGCACACUGAGCUGGACUGGAAUCAGAUGAUUGAUAUUUUCCUGGCUGCCAGCUCCUGCUUCAUCCUCAAUGGCCAGACUCAUGCCCUUACUGAGAAAAUCUACUAGAAGGAAAGAUCUCCAUGCACAGGCAAAGCACAUGUGGUAUUAGCAAGUUUGGCACCUUUAUGGAAGAGGCAUCAUCAGUUUCAUCAGAAUCAGGGCUUUGAAUCAUGAUUUCAAUCACAAGAUUUUGUCGGGAAAUGGGAGCAGCCUUCCUAGAAACUCUGACCUUGCAGAGGCCUUCUGGAAGCACGUGAUGAAACCUCAGGCAGCUUGUUCUUUUGACAAGAGAAAAAGAAAGCCCAUUGUCAAAACAAUUUGCCAAGCUUGAACAUUUGUGAGCACGAAUGAGUCAUAAAUAAUUGUACAUUUUUUUAAUAUUAUUUCUGUGAAGGAAAUACAUUUUCAAUGCAAUAAAAAUCCAUUACAGGCAC
rnacentral:lncRNA from 1 species